rnacentral:rRNA from 1 species
GCGUGGGUAACCUGGCCCAUACAGGGGGAUAACACUUAGAAAUAGGUGCUAAUACCGCAUAACAACAGAAAGCGCAUGCUUUUUGUUUGAAAACCAAGGUGGUAUGGGAUGGACCCGCGUCUGAUUAGCUGGUUGGCGGGGUAAAGGCCCACCAAGGCGACGAUCAGUAGCCGGCCUGAGAGGGUGGACGGCCACAUUGGGACUGAGACACGGCCCAAACUCCUACGGGAGGCAGCAGUGGGGAAUAUUGCACAAUGGGGGAAACCCUGAUGCAGCGACGCCGCGUGAGUGAAGAAGUAAUUCGUUAUGUAAAGCUCUAUCANNAGGGAAGAAAAUGACGGUACCUGACUAAGAAGCCCCGGCUAACUACGUGCCAGCAGCCGCGGUAAUACGUAGGGGGCAAGCGUUAUCCGGAUUCACUGGGUGUAAAGGGAGCGUAGACGGCGACGCAAGUCUGAAGUGAAAGCCCAGGGCUCAACCCUGGGACUGCUUUGGAAACUGUGGAGCUAGAGUGCUGGAGAGGUAAGUGGAAUUCCUAGUGUAGCGGUGAAAUGCGUAGAUAUUAGGAGGAACACCAGUGGCGANGGCGGCUUACUGGACAGUAACUGACNUUGAGGNUCGNAAGCGUGNGGAGNANCAGGNUUAGAUCCCUGGUAGUCCACGCGNUAAGC